AGUCGGCUGUAAGGAUCAUCAUUCAACUCAUUACCAGUUCUGCUUCAUAAAAUUUUUGAUUGACAAAUUGAUUAAUAUCUGAGCCUUUU
rnacentral:snoRNA from 1 species